UACGUAGGGCGCAAGCGUUGUCCGGAAUUAUUGGGCGUAAAGAGCUCGUAGGCGGCCUGUUACGUCUGCUGUGAAAUCCCGGGGCUUAACCCCGGGCGUGCAGUGGAUACGGGCAGGCUGGAGGCAGGCAGGGGAGAACGGAAUUCCCGGUGUAGCGGUGAAAUGCGCAGAUAUCGGGAGGAACACCGGUGGCGAAGGCGGUGCUCUGGGCCUGUACUGACGCUGAGGUGCGAAAGCGUGGGGAGCAAACAGG
rnacentral:rRNA from 1 species